rnacentral:lncRNA from 1 species
CAUCGAAAAUUCUCUCUGCCCCUACCGUACUCCAGCUUGAGUACCAUAUAAGGAUAAGGCUUAUAAGGAAGUCCCCUCAAGUUGGAUCUGACCGAGGUCUUGAACUAAAUGAUACCUAAAGCUAUACAAAUGCCAGUUUUAGGUCCCGUGAUGGGAAGAGCAGAGAAAGAAUUUCUUUGCUUCGAACCUAAGCUAAUAAAGAACCUAGAAAGAGUGUUAGCACCAAGAAAAAGGGCUUCAACCCGCCUAUCGAGAUAGGGACUGGACUUGGUACCCGUUGUGCUCGGGCUUCUUUAGAGGAAGGACUUCGCUCUCUUCACUUUCAGCCUUCCCAACAGUCAAAGAAAGAUUAGCUUCCCCAGCCUUCCCCCCUUCCUGUCCUAAACCCUUCCUAAAGCAGGAAAGAAAU